AUACAGUCAUGCAUAGCAUAUCAAUAAGCGGAGGAAAAGAAACUAACAAGGAUUCCCUUAGUAACGGCGAGUGAAGCGGGAAGAGCUCAAAUUUGAAAUCUUCAAGGUUUUACCUUGACGAAUUGUAGUUUAAAGAAGUGUUUUCUGUUGAAGUUUUGGUAAAAGUUCUUUGGAAUAGGACAUCAUAGAGGGUGAGAAUCCCGUAUUUGACCAUUACUUUCAGCUUUGUGAUACACUUUCAAAGAGUCAGGAUUGUUUGGGAAUGCAGUCCAAAAUGGGUGGUAAAUUUCAUCUAAAGCUAAAUAUUGGCGAGAGACCGAUAGCGAACAAGUACCGUGAGGGAAAGAUGAAAAGAACUUUGAAAAGAGAGUUAAACAGUACGUGAAAUUGUCAAAAGGGAAGCGUUUGACACCAGUGUUGUUUUCUCGAAAAUCAAUUAAAAAGAGUUGGAUUCUGUGUUGUAUUGACUUUAUCAGCUUUCUUCACUCUUUUCCAGCUUUUUUUAAUGCACUUUUCGUUUAACAAGUCAACAUCAGUUUCUUUUGUUGUAAAAAGGUCAUUGGAAGGUGGCUUUCUCUUCGGAGAAAGUGUUUACUAGCCUUUGACUCAUGCAAUCGGAGAGACUGAGGUCUGCAGCGUAGAUCCUUCGGGGUUAGAUACAUUUGUGCUAAGUUAUAGCUUUUCAUAGACAACUUGUUGACUAUGUUUAGUCUUGUAGCUUACUCGCUUAUGCUAUUUUACCUACGCUUAGGAUGUUGAACUCUAUCACACACAG
rnacentral:rRNA from 1 species